rnacentral:misc_RNA from 1 species
GAUGAAGAACGUAGCGAACUGCGAUAAGUAAUGUGAAUUGCAGAAUUCAGUGAAUCAUCGAGUCUUUGAACGCACAUUGCGCCCCCUGGUAUUCCGGGGGGCAUGCCUGUCCGAGCGUCAUUGCCGCCCUCAAGCACGGCUUGUGUGUUGGGCCCCCGCCCCCCGGCUUCGGGGGGCGGGCCCGAAAGGCAGCGGCGGCACCGCGUCCGGUCCUCGAGCGUAUGGGGCUUCGUCACCCGCUCUGUAGGCCCGGCCGGCGCCCGCCGGCGACCCCAAUCAAUCUUUCCAGGUUGACCUCGGAUCAGGUAGGGAUACCCGCUGAACUUAAGCAUAUCAAUAAGCGGAGGA